GACGAACCGUGCGAACGUUGUUCGGAAUCACUGGGCUUAAAGGGCGCGUAGGCGGGCUCGAAAGUCUGUGGUGAAAGCCUCCAGCUUAACUGGAGAAGUGCCAUGGAUACUGCGAACCUGGAGGAGGGUAGGGGCAUCUGGAACGCUGGGUGGAGCGGUGAAAUUCGUAGAUAUUCGCAAGAACACCAGUGGCGAAGGCGGCUCACUGGCCCGGUACUGACGCUGAGGUGCGAAAGCGUGGGGAGCAAACAGGG
rnacentral:rRNA from 1 species